rnacentral:rRNA from 1 species
AGCGUAGGCGGAUAGUUUAGUCAGAGGUGAAAGCCCAGGGCUCAACCUUGGAAUUGCCUUUGAUACUGGCUAUCUUGAGUACGGAAGAGGUAUGUGGAACUCCGAGUGUAGAGGUGAAAUUCGUAGAUAUUCGGAAGAACACCAGUGGCGAAGGCGACAUACUGGUCCGUUACUGACGCUGAGGCUCGAAAGCGUGGGGAGCAAACA